CCUACGGGCGGCUGCAGUCGAGAAUCAUUCACAAUGGGGGAAACCCUGAUGGUGCGACGCCGCGUGGGGGAAUGAAGGUCUUCGGAUUGUAAACCCCUGUCAUGUGGGAGCAAAUUAAAAGGAUAGUAGCACAAGAGGAAGCGACGGCUAACUCUGUGCCAGCAGCCGCGGUAAUACAGAGGUGUCAAGCGUUUUUCGGAAUCACUGGGCGUAAAGCGUGCGUAGGCUGUUUCGGAAGGAGGGUGUGAAAGGCGCGGGCCCAACCCGCGGACGGCAUAUGAUACUGCGAGACUAGAGUAAUGGAGGGGGAACCGGAAUUCUCGGUGUAGCAGUGAAAUGCGUAGAUAUCGAGAGGAACACUAGUGGCGAAGGCGGGUUCCUGGACAUUAACUGACGCUGAGGCACGAAGGCCAGGGGAGCGAAAGGGAUUAGAUACCCGUGUAGUC
rnacentral:rRNA from 1 species